rnacentral:lncRNA from 10 species
CCUGAUGUUGAAGGUUCAAGAUCAAUGGAAAUUACUUGGAUUAAGAUGGCUGACUGGGUUCCUCUGGCAGGAAAAAAUAUCAAGUACCCCUAAAGAAAAUCCACCAAAAGGGAAGUUAGAGGGAGUGAUCUGUCAACCGUAAUUUGGAAUCAUCACUCACUGACACUGGGCAAGCAUGAUUUCAGCAAAGUUGGCAAGACUCAGCUAUCCUGGUAGAAUAGUCAUGCUUUGGGAAAAGCAGCUAACCAUAUGAUGGAAAACCUAAUCCCCAGGCCCAGCUCCUCACCCCAUUUUACCUUUGGUUCCCAUGGGUGUGGGGCAAUCUUUAGGCACAGAGGGCAGAAUACGAGUGUAAUAGCUCACGUUGGAGAAAGACUCCCAGCUGAUGUAGUCAUGUGCUGAGUUGUAGGUGGGGGGACUGGGGAUAAGGUUGGAGCGCACUGCAGAGAGCAAAAAUAACGGUGACAAGGGUGUUUCCACCCCCAGCUCCAUCCCAGUUCUUGCCUCCUCCUGGGUUGGGGCUUAUUUUAUCAGGCAUCAUAGACUCUCCCCACCCACUACCCUUAUCAGAUGCCAAGAAUCCAAAAGGACUAGCAGGCUUGCUUGCUCCCCCAGGUCAGGGGGCCCUGCCCCACACCCACCUGUGAGUACCAGGCGCAUGAGCAUCUCUCGGAUGAAGGUGGCAUUGACAAACUCCCAGAACCAGCGCCCGUGAGUGAGCAGGAAGUGGGUGAAAGAGGGGCUGGGCCGCAGUGAAUUCCGGAGCCAGGUCCACAGGCCAGCUGCAGGGGCAAUGGCAGUCACUCAGUUGGUCCCUCCUACCAGAACCAGAAGUAGCCAGGGUGGAAGAUGGGGCACUGAGGACAAGGGCCAGGGUGGAACAGAGUAGCACCUAUGGGGAAGUGGGUAAGGAUGGAACCUUGGGAGCAAUGACACAUGACAGAGACAGAACCGGGCGUGAGGACAGGGGCCAGGGCAUGUGGUGAAGACUCACCAUGGAACUCAGAAGCAGGGAGUGAGGGUGGACCAAGAGCGAGAGCUCAUGCUGAAGCCAGGUCAGGGAGAGGGGCAGAACCAGGCAAGGAAGGAGAACAGGGCCAUGGUCAGAGAGGAGGGUAGGAAGUUAGGGUCUAGGAGAAAGGGCCCGGGGAGCAGAAGGGCUCAAGACGGAAGGAGUGAGGGCUGAAGGCCCAGCUCACGGAUGGUGCAGUUGGGGCCGGAAUAGCCCGUGCGGGUGCAGUCACACUGGUAGCGGUCAAGGCCGAAGCGGACACAGAUGCCCUGGUGCUGGCAUGGAUAGUAACAACAGGGAUUCACUGUGGGUGAGAAAUGGAGGUCAGAGACCAUGCUAGGGUGGCCUCCUGACCCCCAUCUAGCCCCUGAUGGGGGAAUGAGGGGCCAGAGGCAUGGACUUAAGUCGCAGCUCCGUCCUGAAUCACUGGGUGCCAGGGCUUCAGGGUUCCCCCAAGGGGACCCCUGUUCCCACCUCUGUGAACAUAAACCACCCAUCCUGACAUUUCCAGGCCCUGCUCUGGAACUCCAGCCUAGCCCACAUCAGGCCCCCAGGGGAAGCGCCCCCUCCCUCCCUAUUGCCACCAAACGGCGGCAGGAGAAGAUUCCCCGGCUGUGACACUGAAAGUUAAGAAAGAGCUGAUAAAACUCCUCAGCCACGGGCUUCUAGAGCGUUCACUUCCUGCCUAGUCAGAGUUCAGUAGCAAGAGCAGGCCGGGGCGGGGGGUGGGGGGGCGGUCAGAAAAGGGACGAGGACGAGGACGGGGACUUCUCCCAGACCACCACCCCAUGAACACUAGGAAAACGAGAUCCCUCACCAUUCCUCCAUUUCUGCAGAAGGUAGAGAAGAGCAGGUAUCAUAAUGUCCACAUUGCAGAUGGGGAAAUUGAAGCCAGAAAAAGGGAAAGCCAGACCUAUCACCCCACAAGUCUCACCAGACCAAAUGCCCAUCCCUUCACUUCCACUCCACCCCCACAGCCUCAGCAGCCAAGUCUAAGGAAAGAAGUUUUCCAGAACCCUGGGGACAGAGGGUGGGUGUGCAGGA